rnacentral:rRNA from 1 species
GGCUACACACGUGCUACAAUGGGUAGUACAGAGAGUCGCAAAGCCGUGAGGUGGAGCUAAUCUCAGAAAACUAUUCUUAGUUCGGAUUGUACUCUGCAACUCGAGUACAUGAAGUUGGAAUCGCUAGUAAUCGCGAAUCAGCAAUGUCGCGGUGAAUACGUUCUCGGGUCUUGUACACACCGCCCGUCACACCAUGAGAGUUGGUUGCACCUGAAGUAGCAGGCCUAACCGUAAGGAGGGAUGCUCCGAGGGUGUGAUUAGCGAUUGGGGUGAAGUCGUAACAAGGUAUCCGUACGGGAACGU